AUAAUAUUUAUAUAAUAUAUAUAUCGAAUCAAUCGAAUCAAUUAUCGAUCGAUGUGGGAGAUCGAUUUGACUCAUAUUUUAAUUUACGCAUACUUUUUAUUUUUAUGUAAAAGUAAUUACAAUUUGUGAAACGUGAAUUAAUAAUAAUUAGCUUUAUUAGUGUGAAAAACGCAAAGUUCAAAACGGUAUAUAUCGCAGAAGCACUCAUUUUGACGCGUGAAGUUAGCGCUAGAGAUGAUCAUCUCUGACUCGAGCCAACUUAACACAGUUCUCUGUUUUAGGGGUUCACAUGCCUUCCGGAACGGAACGGGACGCUGGGUUCACUUUCUUUCCGGAACGGAACGGGACGCGGGACACAUCGCUCCCGAUCGAGUCUUCUUCGCAAAUCAUAUAAUCGAACGCAACGAAUGUGGAACGACAUGCCGCCGCAAGUGCUAGAACAAGUGCUAUCGCCAAGUAUUUAAUCGAACUCGACAGAGGUGGAACGACCCGGCGCUGUAUAGAACGGCAUCGCAGAUCAUAACUGGUAAGUGUAACAUACACAUCUCAGUAAGCAAAAAAUAAUUUAAGAUUUUGUAAAUCAUAAACUAAUACUAAGAUUUUAUUUAAUUAUAACU